UACGAAGGGGGCUAGCGUUGCUCGGAAUUACUGGGCGUAAAGGGCGCGUAGGCGGCCGCCUAAGUCAGACGUGAAAUCCCUCGGCUCAACCGGGGAACUGCGUCUGAUACUGGGUGGCUUGAAUCCGGGAGAGGGAUGUGGAAUUCCAGGUGUAGCGGUGAAAUGCGUAGAUAUCUGGAGGAACACCGGUGGCGAAGGCGACAUCCUGGACCGGUAUUGACGCUGAGGCGCGAAAGCCAGGGGAGCAAACAGG
rnacentral:rRNA from 1 species